GGAUCCAGGCAGCAGUGAGGUCGGAGCAGCCUCCAGCCCCGCGCGGGACCGGCGCGGCACUCGGAGAGAGCCACGCGCCAGCGCCCCACGCUGGGGUCCGCGCAGUCGGCACCCGGGCGUCGGAGGCCCGCCCUCCCGGCUCUCCAGACGCCCCCCCCGGGGUCCUCCUUCUCCGAGGAUCCCCCGACCCUACGGGGCUGCUAAUCACCGCCUUCUCCGCUCGCCCUCUUUCUUUCGGGACCGGUUGGCUGGGCUGAGGCGGAGAGGGGGAGGCGGAGGAGCCGAGGAGGCGGGGGCCCGGCGGCCGGAGCCCAGAGAAAGUGGCAUGCCCGAGCCCUGCAGGCGGAGGUGGCGGAGGACGGGGGAAGACGAUGCCGCGGCUCGGUAGGGGAGAAAGGCGAGAGCUAGCGAGGCGAGCGGGGCUCCCGGGCGCCAGCCGGCUGCGGGGACGCUCGAGCCGCUCUCUGAGGCUCCGGCCUCCGCAUCCCCGCGCCCCGACGCUGCGGGCGACAGGGCCGGGCUCCCGCAGCCGCCACGGUCGUCGCCGCCUCCAGCCGGAGGACCGGGCAAAAGUUUGGAUCUGGGGGAGGACGCGGCGCUGAGCGGGAUUACCAGCAGGCCAAAAGGAUACCUCGCAAACCUCUGCAGAAUCUGAAUACCUUUUGUUCUGGCAGUGCUGAAUGAUAGAAUAAUGAUAUUUGAAGAAGAAAAAUGUUUACUACUACUCUGAAGAGUUCUGCUAAUAAAAUGAGAUGAAUCUGUAGGGAGACGUGAUCAGGCCACGUGGAAGAAACCUACACACGCCAGUGUCACUCUUACUGGAAAUGGCUCCUGGUUUGCCUGGACCACAUGCAUCUGUGAAGGACCGCUUGUUACCCAGUGUUACUCUUCCCUCUCUACUCUGAAUACUGAACUCACUUGAAUUUUCGGUUGGGCUCCAGUGUUGGUAUGAGGUAAUUAUUUCUAACCAGGUCCCAUUCUGCUUAUAUUUC